rfam:Loxodonta africana unplaced genomic scaffold scaffold_139, whole genome shotgun sequence.
GGUUUCAUGGUGUAGUGGUUAGCACAUCUGCUUUACACGCAGAAGAUCCUGGGUUCAAUUCCCAGUGGAGCCA